rnacentral:rRNA from 1 species
GAGCACGUAGGGGGUUUGUAAGUCAGAUGUGAAAGCCUUCUGUUCAACGGGAGAAUUGCAUCUGAAACUGCUAAUCUUGAGUAUAGGAGGGGAGAAUGGAACUUCUGGUGGAGCGGUGAAAUGCGUAGAUAUCAGAAGGAACGCCGGCGGCGGAAGCGAUUCUCUGGCCUAUUACUGACACUCAGUGUGCGAAAGCUAGGGGAGCAAACGGGAUUAGAUACCCCGGUAGCAGCUAU